AAAACAACUCUCGGCAACGGAUAUCUCGGCUCUCGCAUCGAUGAAGGACGUAGCGAAAUGCGAUACUUGGUGUGAAUUGCAGAAUCCCGCGAACCAUCGAGUUUUUGAACGCAAGUUGCGCCCGAAGCCGUCAGGCCGAGGGCACGUCUGCCUGGGCGUCACGC
rnacentral:rRNA from 1 species